UUGAACGCUGGCGGCAGGCCUAACACCUGCAAGUCGAGCGGAUGAAGGGAGCUUGCUCCUGGAUUCAGCGGCGGACGGGUGAGUAAUGCCUAGGAAUCUGCCUGGUAGUGGGGGAUAACGUCCGGAAACGGGCGCUAAUACCGCAUACGUCCUGAGGGAGAAUGUGGGGGAUCUUCGGACCUCACGCUAUCCGAUGAGCCUAGGUCGGAUUAGCUAGUUGGUGGGGUAAAGGCCUACCAAGGCGACGAUCCGUAACUGGUCUGAGAGGAUGAUCAGUCACACUGGAACUGAGACACGGUCCAGACUCCUACGGGAGGCAGCAGUGGGGAAUAUUGGACAAUGGGCGAAAGCCUGAUCCAGCCAUGCCGCGUGUGUGAAGAAGGUCUUCGGAUUGUAAAGCACUUUAAGUUGGGAGGAAGGGCAGUAAGUUAAUACCUUGCUGUUUUGACGUUACCAACAGAAUAAGCACCGGCUAACUUCGUG
rnacentral:rRNA from 1 species